rnacentral:misc_RNA from 1 species
AAGUCGUAACAAGGUUUCCGUAGGUGAACCUGCGGAUGGAUCAUUAUCAAAAGUUAUACCUGUGUCUUGUGAAUUUUGUCAAAGGUGAGCGACAAGUGUUAUUAGUAUUUCUGAGAGCGAUCCCUAUGCGUCUUUUAUGAGUCUCAUGGGGUAUGCCUAUCAGUAUAGUACUAACACUCAUCGCUGGCCAAAACUUAAGCGUUCUAUACUUACUGAUGUCUGUUGACAAUAAUGUUAACUAUUACAACUUUUAGCAAUGGAUCUCUUGGCUCUU